GGGGGUUUAGCUCAAAUGGUAGAGCGCUCGCUUCGCAUCGCGUGAUUGCGAGAGGCAGGGGGAUCGAUACCCCCAACCUCCA